UCCGGUUUGUCACCGGCAGUCUCAUUAAAGUGCCCAACUGAAUGGUGGCAAUUAAUGACAAGGGUUGCGCUCGUUGCGGGACUUAACCCAACAUCUCACGACACGAGCUGACGACAGCCAUGCAGCACCUGUGUUCAGGUUCUCUUUCGAGCACUCCCACAUCUCUGCAGGAUUCCUGACAUGUCAAGGGUAGGUAAGGUUUUUCGCGUUGCAUCGAAUUAAUCCACAUCAUCCACCGCUUGUGCGGGUCCCCGUCAAUUCCUUUGAGUUUUAAUCUUGUGACCGUAUUUUUCAGGCGGCGAACUUCACGUGUUAGCUGCGGUAUUAAGGAAGUCUCCUUUUCCAACACCUAGUUCGCAUCGUUUAGGGCGUGGACUAC
rnacentral:misc_RNA from 1 species